UGGGUAGACAUGUUCCAAGGCCUUCAAAAAAAGAUCCUUUGUGGGGUACUUAGUCCAUUAAUUAGAAAAUCGUUUUCAUCCCCGACACUGCGUGCUUCUGU
ensembl:misc_RNA Gm55855 predicted gene, 55855